rnacentral:rRNA from 1 species
AUGCUGGAGGUAUCAGAAGUGCGAAUGCUGACAUAAGUAACGAUAAAGCGGGUGAAAAGCCCGCUCGCCGGAAGACCAAGGGUUCCUGUCCAACGUUAAUCGGGGCAGGGUGAGUCGACCCCUAAGGCGAGGCCGAAAGGCGUAGUCGAUGGGAAACAGGUUAAUAUUCCUGUACUUGGUGUUACUGCGAAGGGGGGACGGAGAAGGCUAUGUUGGCCGGGCGACGGUUGUCCCGGUUUAAGCGUGUAGGCUGAUUUUCCAGGCAAAUCCGGAAAAUCAAGGCUGAGGCGUGAUGACGAGGCACUACGGUGCUGAAGCAACAAAUGCCCUGCUUCCAGGAAAAGCCUCUAAGCAUCAGGUAACAUCAAAUCGUACCCCAAACCGACACAGGUGGUCAGGUAGAGAAUACCAAGGCGCUUGAGAGAACUCGGGUGAAGGAACUAGGCAAAAUGGUGCCGUAACUUCGGGAGAAGGCACGCUGAUAUGUAGGUGAAGCGACUUGCUCGUGGAGCUGAAAUCAGUCGAAGAUACCAGCUGGCUGCAACUGUUUAUUAAAAACACAGCACUGUGCAAACACGAAAGUGGACGUAUACGGUGUGACGCCUGCCCGGUGCCGGAAGGUUAAUUGAUGGGGUUAGCGGUAACGCGAAGCUCUUGAUCGAAGCCCCGGUAAACGGCGGCCGUAACUAUAACGGUCCUAAGGUAGCGAAAUUCCUUGUCGGGUAAGUUCCGACCUGCACGAAUGGCGUAAUGAUGGCCAGGCUGUCUCCACCCGAGACUCAGUGAAAUUGAACUCGCUGUGAAGAUGCAGUGUACCCGCGGCAAGACGGAAAGACCCCGUGAACCUUUACUAUAGCUUGACACUGAACAUUGAGCCUUGAUGUGUAGGAUAGGUGGGAGGCUUUGAAGUGUGGACGCCAGUCUGCAUGGAGCCGACCUUGAAAUACCACCCUUUAAUGUUUGAUGUUCUAACGUUGGCCCGUUAUCCGGGUUGCGGACAGUGUCUGGUGGGUAGUUUGACUGGGGCGGUCUCCUCCUAAAGAGUAACGGAGGAGCACGAAGGUUGGCUAAUCCUGGUCGGACAUCAGGAGGUUAGUGCAAUGGCAUAAGCCAGCUUGACUGCGAGCGUGACGGCGCGAGCAGGUGCGAAAGCAGGUCAUAGUGAUCCGGUGGUUCUGAAUGGAAGGGCCAUCGCUCAACGGAUAAAAGGUACUCCGGGGAUAACAGGCUGAUACCGCCCAAGAGUUCAUAUCGACGGCGGUGUUUGGCACCUCGAUGUCGGCUCAUCACAUCCUGGGGCUGAAGUAGGUCCCAAGGGUAUGGCUGUUCGCCAUUUAAAGUGGUACGCGAGCUGGGUUUAGAACGUCGUGAGACAGUUCGGUCCCUAUCUGCCGUGGGCGCUGGAGAACUGAGGGGGGCUGCUCCUAGUACGAGAGGACCGGAGUGGACGCAUCACUGGUGUUCGGGUUGUCAUGCCAAUGGCACUGCCCGGUAGCUAAAUGCGGAAGAGAUAAGUGCUGAAAGCAUCUAAGCACGAAACUUGCCCCG